rnacentral:lncRNA from 1 species
ACUGGAUUUGGGUGCCCCAGCAUUUUGCACCCUUUUCUUGUCCUUCUUAUUCUUCUUCCUUUUCUCAAAGGGUCGACAUUAAGAAGAAGAUCCUCCCACUAUAUUCACUGACUCCUUGUAGAGCUGGUGAUCCUUCUCAAAGUUCUGCAACAAUCCCAGCAAAUCGUGGUAGUUGACUGCAGGCUUUGUCAUUCAAAAAUGAGUAAG